GUUAUUACAUUGUCGGUAUUUUUGAUUUAGCAAAUAUAGAGGGUCACUCGCAAUCGCAAGAGAGCAAGUGAGUGGAUUAUAUCGUUGGACUACGGAGAUGGUGCUCUUCCUCCUCGAUACAUACACAGAGAGAGA